GGAGGGCUCUUCAUCUGGUGUGCUCUUACCGGCUUCAGGAUGGUCUUGUUCUACAUAUUAUCAAUUUCAUGUAACGCUUUUGAGUUUGGAGCGAUUUAGAUGAACAAGAGACCAAAUUUUCUAUGUUUACUUGGAGAAUCCCAUAAACCAUUUUUGGUUUUGCAAUUCUGUCUGGUUCUGUUUAGCGUCUAUCUACAAUUCAUCAGUUAAAAUUAGACAUUGUGAUAUUCGUGUUGUCUGAUCUGAGCGAGUGUAAUCGCUGCUUUCAGUGCACUCAAGCUCGGACAGUUUGACUAUAUGGUUAUUGCACAUCCACCCACAUCUUUUAUAUCCUUAUUGGGAUGUAAAAAACUGUCACUAAAAGCUUCCUGUCAGCGGAACCAACGUAUAAUGUGUGCUAUUUUGCAACCAGCCUAAUAUAACAAUUGUUUAUAUAUCAAUAUAGAUGCAAUCUUUUGGUCGCUAGACAAUGUUGUGACGAUUAUGCAGAAACAUACAGAUCUGGCCUUCCAGAUCGAUUGAGAGUAUAACUUAACUUAUGUGCUGGAGACACGUGACGAUCAAGAGGGAUGCCUCGGUUCGAGGAGAGAGGCGUCGGUUGCGGUAGCAACCUCACGAUCGUUCGGGCAAUUACAUAUAGUAAUUAAUUCUAACACUCCCCCUAAUCUACACUUGACCAUAUAGAGUCAUCUUCACGAUUAUCCGGGAAGUUCCCUCAAAAAGGUUUCUCCUCCGAAAGUUCUUCAUAACAUAUUUGAUGAGAUCCUGAAAUAUAAACUCACAAAGGGAUAGCAUAACGUGAUGUCUUUAAACAAGAAUAUCUCAAGAAGAGACUCCCCCUGAUUCUUGCAUAUCUGGAACAUAGAAGUUGGUAGAGACCUGGUGAACAAAUCAGUCGCAUGAUUUGACUUGCAAGAUAUGCAAUAUAGUGAUAUUGCUUAUUAUGUAACCUGUUUUCAUCCGGGCAACACAAGAAACAUUAUCGUUGAGAUAAUGGUUGAUGGAUGUAGUCAUGAGGUCUGUUUCGAAGACUCUUCAUGAGAAGGUUACCACACCUAGUAGGAACACUAAGUUUGUUUACGAUCUGACAUAGUGGGGAUCUGCUCGAUGUAUCCAAUGAUAUCGGAGGUCACAUUUCUGUGAAACUAAAAAACCAGGACAAGAUGUUUGAUGGCUUGGAGAUAUCGAAAGAUAUUCUCGAGUACCAACCAAUCGUGUUUGGUAGAUCCAAUGGUGAAAGUGCUAGUUAUCGACUAGAGGAGGGGGGGGGGGAUGAAUAGGCGAUUUUUAUGAAAGUCUUCAAAACAUGGGAGUUUCGAAGACAAAUAAUAGAAAUGAACCUAUUGACAUGCAGCGGAAGGUGGACUACACUAGACAAGCCAUAGUCAAGUAUUCAAUGAAGUGAAAGCACGAAGACUAUUAGCAGCUAAGUUGUAAGGAUUAGGAUGGAAGAUAGUAUGAAGCCAAACAAUGAUAGUCGUCACACAGUGAAGUCAAUCAGAUCAAGCAAGCAGGCAAUGACUUCAUGAAGACAAACAGUAAGUAAAGAGAGGGAGAAGAUAUAACCACUUGCUUGGUGAGGACAAAGAUUUGUUGGACCAGUUCCAGUUGCUGUGACAACUGUACGUCUGGUUAGGGAGGCUGAGAUUCAACUCAGAAGACCGCGUCUUCACCUUAUUCCCUUUGAGCUAAGGACAUUUAGUCCUCACCCAAUCACUCUGGUAAGUCUUCAAGGUAGACUUCCAAACCUUCACAGACUCCGUUCACCGGCAAUCCACAAUGACUCUUGGAUACUCAGAACGCGACGCCUAACCGGCUGGAGGAUUCACAGUCCUCAAGUGUAACAAGUCUUCAGAUCACGCGGACAGAAAGACUUCAGUGAUGCCAAACACUCUUUGGGCUCUGGGUGUUUUGGGCGUUGUCCUCGCAAGGAUCUCUCUCUCAAAGGCUUCGAGGUGGGUUGCUCUCAAACAAAAAAGCCGUGCACUAACUCUGAGCAGCCACCAAUUUAUGGUGUAGGGGGUGGGCUAUUUAUAGCCAGUAGGCAACCCGACCUGAUUUGUCCGAAAUGACCCUAGGUCACUAAGGAACUGACACAUGUCCAACGGUCAGAUUUCAAACACACGCGACAGCUUGAUUUGGGCUACCAGUAAAGCUGACUCAUCCAGCUCUGGAUAAGAUUUGCUCUCAUUGUCUUCGCUCGAAGACAUAGGAUUUGGUUGAGCAUCACUUCAGUCACUCUAAUUUUGUUCACUUGGACCCCACUUAACAGUACGGUGGUUCCUAUGACUCAACAAAGAAGAAAAGGAAACUACAAAACAACUAUGUCUUUGCACUCCAUAGUCUUCACAUGAAUGUCUUCUCGAGUCAUAAUCUUCGUUGUGAAUAUCUUCACAUACCACCAUUGUCUUCAAUGUCUUCUAACAUUUUUAGGGGUCAUCUCCGGUAGUUAAACCGAAUCAAUGAGGGACUACUACCUGUGUUAUCCUGUAAUUCUCACAAACACAUUAGUCCCUCAACCAGGUUUGUCGUCAAUACUCCAAAACCAACUAGGGGUGGCACUAGAUGCACUUACAAUCUCCCCCUUUUUGGUGAUUGAUGACAAACUAGUUGAAGUUUUCAAUGGGGAUAAAAGUAUUUGAAAUUGUAAGGGUAAAGAUAUUGUCUUCAUAAGUAGCAAAAGGCUCCCCCUAAAGAUGUGCAUAUAAGUAUUUUGCUUUUGAAUGCAAAUGCACAUGGCAGGUUGUACUUGUGGAGAUCCUCUUCAACUUAAGAAGACAAUUCAUCAUGCAUGAAAAGAUAUAACGAAGAUAAUGACAAGCAUAAUGAAAAAUGGACGUCUGCGAAAUGACUUCGUGCGGAAUUUAUCGUCGCACAUGCGGAAUUUAUCAUCGCAUCACAUAGUUGAUAGAAAAGGUAGCAGACGACCAUCAAGUUUAAGUGUUACAACUCAAAGAACCAAAUGUAUCAAAAGCGAGAGUUGUAAGCACUUGGCAAAAGGUAUAGCAACCACCCAUAAGGACCCGCUUGAAUACUAUCAACUCAUAUGCUUCUCCCCCUUUUGUCAGUAAGGACCAAAAAGGUUUGAAGACAUAGAGCUUCUACUUGUUCCCAUGAGGUGCAGGGUCGACGUUGGAGUCCGGUGGUGCAGAAGAACUUGGCGCAGUGUUGAUACGAGGCGAAGUUGUAGUUGGUGAAGUGGCAUCGUCUUCGUCAUCAAUGACUCUGGCAUUGACAGUUGCCGCUGAGGAGGAGUACUCAGAGUCUUCGAGUGAGGGAGUCCUACGCAAGACAGCGUUCCUGGGAGGAGUGGAAUCAAAUUUGAAUCUCUCUGUGAAGCCAUCUUGUUGAAGAUCAUCUUCAGAACUGAGUAAUGUCAGACUCUUCCACGACCGCCGACAGGUUUCAUGAGUGACAAAUGCAUUCUUGGUGGCUAGAUUGCGAAUGCGAUUAACAUCCACCAAGAGACUCUGCAUCUGACGCUUCAGCCAGUAAUGAUGCUUAUCCUGUUUCUGAUGUAGUGCCACAAGAAGCUCUCGGUCAUUGAGAACGCGAGAUCGCUUUCGAGGCCUUUGAGCAAUGGUGCUCUCAGUGGCUUCAGUAUGGGCACGAUGAGGUGCACGUGUAUUUCCAGCCAAAGGAUAAACACGAGUUGCAGCAAGAACUCCUUCAAUAGGUUGAGUGAAACUUUGACGAUCGAUGUUGUGAAGAUAAAUUGGCUCCUUGGCAGGCUCUGGGUUUAACAAUGAAAUCAUGCGCUACCAUACUCUUAUAACCUAAAUAAGCAGUGGGCAGCAAUUUUUCUUCUUUUUCAUAGUGCCUAAUAGGUAUGUUAUAAUGUGUAGCAAGGUGUGAAGCAUAAAUACCUCCAAAGAUGGGGCCCUUUGUACGGUUCAGACUUAACCGUUUAGCAAUAAUUCCGCCCAUACUAACAGUGUUAUCGCGGAAUAAACCAUGGAACAAAAUGAUAAUAUCAGGAACACUAAGGUUUCCACAGUUUCCACGACCAAUUAAGCAACGACUAGCAAAUAUGGCAGUAGCGUAAAACAGGAAAAUGUAUGCUAGUGAUUCUUGCAUCGGAAACCUUCCUGGUUUCCCCCACAAUAAUGGUGUCAAUAAACCCGUCCACAUCUUUACGAUGUGGUUCAUCUAAGGUACCCUCAAAGGGUAUUUUGCAAACCUUGUAAAAUUCAUCUAGUGGCAUCUUCUUAACAACAUCAUAUAAAUGAAACUGUACUGAAGGAGGUGAUUCCUUAGGAUAAUAGUAGAAGUUUUGCACAAAAGUAUUGGUGAGUAAGAGAUACUGUUGACGUUGGUCGCGGAGGAAGUCGGUGAGGCCAGCAUUCUCAGCCAAUGAAUAGAAAUCAUCAUAAAUCCCGGCUUCCCUCAAGAAAUCAUCGGAAGGCCAUUCACAUGGCUGGACCUCCGCGGUGCGAGGCAAAUUAUAUUUGGGCCUAUGUGCUUCUUCAUUUUGCUUUUCCUUCGAGCUUCGGCUCGAUGAGCCCCUCAAAAAUCUCUUCAUUAUUUUCUGAAAAAUUCUGAAAUUUUUAGUAACUUCAAACAAAGGUGAACCAAGCUCAACAAAAUUGAUAGCAACUACUCCUACAAGUGCCUAGAGCCUAUAACAUGCAUUAGAACUACUUGGAACCAUAUAAAUUUGACAUGCAAGCUCAAGAACAUGGUCACCUAGGCAGCACAAAUUUGCAAUGAAUAGAGCACUAGAACAAAAACUAAUUGGACCAAUGGAGGAGUCACAUAGCAAGGAACAAUCUCCCCAAGCAGUUUUGUGAGAGGUGCUUUGAGCAAGGAGAUCGAAAAUCGCAGCAAAAUGAGCUAGAACUCGUGCUUGAGCUGGAUAUUGGUGUUUGUGGGAGGAAGAAGGAGUGUGUGGGUGCAGUAAUAAGUGGAGGGGGGCCACCGUGGGCCCACGAGGCAGGGGGGCGCGCCCUCCACCCUCGUGGCCAGGUGCUUGCCCUCCUGCUGUGUUCUCAGUGCCAGAUAUUCUCAAAUAUUCCAGAAAAAAUCAUAUUCCAUUUUCAGGGCAUUUGGAGAACUUUUAUUUUUGGGGUAUUUUUAUAUUGCACGGAUAAAUCAGAAAACAGACAGAAAAAUACUAUUUUUACUUUAUUUCAACUAAAUAACAGAAAGUAGGAGGGUACAGAAGAUUGUGUCUUCUAGUUUCAUCCAUCUCAUGCUAUCAAACGGAAUCCACUAACAAGGUUGAUCAGGUCUUGUUAACAAACUCAUUCCGAAUAACAUGGAACCGGAGAAAUUUCGAAUAACACUAUGUUUCCUCAACGGGGAUAUGCACAUCCCCAAUAAUAAGAAUAUCAUAUUUCUUCUUGACAGUAGGAAGAGGAAAUUCAAAACCUCCAAAUAUAAUCGAUGGAAUUUUUCCAAUAGAAUUGAUACUAUGAACUUGAGGUUGUUUCCUCGGAAAGUGUACCGUAUGCUCAUUACCAUUAACAUGAAAAGUGACAUUGCCUUUGUUGCAAUCAAUAACAGCCCCUGCAGUAUUCAAAAAGGGUCUUCCAAGAAUAAUAGACAUACUAUCGUCCUCGGGAAUAUCAAGAAUAACAAAGUCCGUUAAAAUAGUAGCGUUUGCAACUACAACAGGCACAUCCUCACAAAUACCGACAGGUAUAGCAGUUGAUUUAUCAGCCGUUUGCAAAGAUAUUUCAGUAGGUGUCAACUUAUUCAAAUCAAGAUUACAUAUAAAGAGAGAGAGGCAUAACACUAACACCGGCUCCAAGAUCACAUAAAGCAGUUUUAACAUAGUUUCUUUUAAUGGAGCAUGGUAUAGUGGAUACUCCUGGAUCUCCAAGUUUCUUUGGUAUUCCACCCUUAAAAGUAUAAUUAGCAAGCAUGGUGGAAAUUUCAGCUUCCGGUAUCUUUCUUUUAUUAGUAACAAUAUCUUUCAUAUACUUAGCAUAAGGAUUCAUUUUGAGCAUAUCAGUCAAUCGCAUAUGCAAGAAGAUAGGUCUAAUCAUUUCAGCAAAGCGCUCAAAAUCCUCAUCAUCCUUUUUCUUGGAUGGUUUGGGAGGAAAAGGCAUGGGUUUUUGAACCCAUGGUUCUCUUUCUUUACCAUGGUUCCUAGCAACAAAGUCUCUCUUAUCAUAACGUUGAUUCUUUGAUUGUGGGUUAUCAAGAUCAACAACACGUUCAAUUUCUACAUCAUUGUCAUUACUAGGUUGAGCAUCAUCAUGAACAUCAUCAUUAGCAUUUUCAUUAGGUUCAUGUUCAUUACCAGAUUGUGUUUCAGCAUCAGAAAUAGAAAUAUCAUUUGGAUUCUCAGGUGGUUCAGCAAUAGGUUCACUAGAAACAUGCAAAGUCCUAUCAUUUUUCUUUUUCUUCUUUUUAGAAGGACUAGGUGCAUCAAUAUUAUUUCUCUGAGAAUCUUGCUCAAUUCUCUUAGGGUGGUCUUCAGGAUACAAAGGUUCCUGAGUCAUUCUACCAGUUCUAGUAGCCACUCUAACAACAUAAUCAUUUUUCUUACUAUUCAUUUCAUUGAGCAAAUCAUUUUGAGCUUUAAGUACUUGUUCUACUUGAGUGGUAACCAUAGAAGCAUGUUUACUAAUGAGUUUAAGUUCACCUUUAACUCUAGACAUAUAAUCACCCAAGUGUACAAGCGUAUCGGAAUUGUAUUUCAAUUGUCUACCAAAAUAAGCAUUGAAGUUUUCUUGUUUGACAAUAAAAUUAUCAAACUCUUCUAAGCAUUGUCUAGCAGACUUAUAGUGAGGAAUAUCACCUUCAUCAAAUCUAUAGAGAGAAUUUACCUUUACUACCUGUGUCGGGUUAUCAAGACCAUGAGGUUCUUCAAUAGGUAAUGGAUUAGGAUCAUAUAUUUCUUCAACAGGCGGUAAAUUAAGACCAUUUAUUUCUUCAAUAGGAGGUAAAUUCUUAACAUCUUCAGCUUUAAUACCCUUUUUCUUUCAUAGAUUUCUUUGCCUCUUGCAUAUCUUCAGGACUGAGAAAUAGAACACCUCUCUUCUUCGGAGUUGGUUUAGGAAUAGGCUCAGGAGCUGGCUCAGGAGCUAGCUCAAGAAGUGUCCAAUUAUUUUCAUUUGUCAACAUAUUAUUCAAUAGAAUUUCAGCUUCAUCCGGUGUUCUUUCCCUGAAAACAGAACCAGCACAACUAUCCAGGUAAUCUCUGGAAGCAUCGGUUAGUCCAUUAUAAAAGCAAGUAUUUCAUUUUUCUUAAGAGGAUGAUCAGGCAAAGCAUUAAGUAACUUGAGAAGCCUCCCCCAAGCUUGUGGGAGACUCUCUUCUUCAAUUUGCACAAAGUUGUAUAUUUCCCUUAAAGCAGCUUGUUUCUUAUGAGCAGGGAAAUAUUUAGCAGAGAAGUAAUAAAUCAUAUCCUGGGGACUACGCACACAAUCAGGAUCAAGAGAAUUAAACCAUAUCUUAGCAUCACCCUUUAAUGAGAACGGAAAUAUUUUAAGGAUAUAAAGAUAGCGAGAUCUCUCAUCAUUAGUGAACAGGGUGGCUAUAUCAUUUAAUUUAGUAAGAUGUGCCACAACAGUUUCAGAUUCAUAGCCAUGAAAAGGAUAAGAUUCAACCAAAGUAAUUAUAUCAGGAUCAACAGAGAAUUCAUAAUCCUUAUCAGUAACACAGAUAGGUGAAGUAGCAAAAGCAGGGUCAGGUUUCAUUCUAGCAUUAAGAGGGUGCUGCCUCCAUUUAGCUAAUAACCUCUUGAGUUCAUAUCUAUCUUUGCAAGCUAAAAUAGCUAAAGCAGCUUCUUUUUCAAAAACAUAACCCUCAGGAAUAACAGGCGAGUCUUCAUCAUCACUUUCAUCAAUAUAAUCAGUUUCAAUAAUUUCUUUCUCUCUAACCCUAGCAAUUUGUUCAUCAAGAAAUUCACUAAGUGGCACAGUAGUAUCACGCAUAGAAGUAGUUUCAUCAUAAGUAUCAUGCAUAGCAGAAGUGGCAUCAUCAAUAACAUGCGACAUAUCAGAACGAAUAGCAGAAGCAGGUUUAGGUGUCGCAAGCUUACUCAAAACAGAAGGUGAAUCAAGUGCAGAGCUAGAUGGCAGUUCCUUACCUCCCCUCGUAGUUGAGGGAUAAAUUGUUGUCUUAGCGUCUUUCAAGUUCUUCAUAGUGACCAGCAGAUAUAAAUCCCAAGUGACUCAAAGAAUAGAGCUAUGCUCCCCGGCAACGGCGCCAGAAAAUAGUCUUGAUAACCCACAAGUAUAGGGGAUCGCAACAGUUUUCGAGGGUAGAGUAUUCAACCCAAAUUUAUUGAUUCGACACAAGGAGAGCCAAAGAAUAUUCUCAAGUAUUAGCAGUUGAGUUGUCAAUUCAACCAGACCUGGAUAACUUAAUAUCUGCAACAAAGUAUUUAGUAGAAAAGUAGUAUGAUAGUAGUGGUAAUGGUAACAAAAGUAACGGUAGCAAAAGUAAUAUUUUUGGUGUUUUGUAGUGAUUGUAACAGUAGCAACGGAAAAGUAAAUAAGCGGAGAACAAUAUAGGAAAAGCUCGUAGGCAUUGGAUCGGUGAUGGAGAAUUAUGCCGGAUGCGGUUCAUCAUGUAACAAUCAUAACAUAGGGUGACACAGAAAUAGCUCCAAUUCAUCAAUGUAAUGUAGGCAUGUAUUCCGAAUAUAGUCAUACAUGCUUAUGGAAAAGAACUUGCAUGACAUCUUUUGUCCUACCCUCCCGUGGCAGCGGGGUCCUAAUGGAAACUAAGGGAUAUUAAGGCCUCCUUUUAAUAGAGUACCGGAACAAAGCAUUAGCACAUAGUGAAUACAUGAACUCCUCAAACUAUGGUCAUCACCGGGAGUGGUCCCGAUUAUUGUCACUUCGGGGUUGCCGGAUCAUAACACAUAGUAGGUGACUAUAGACUUGCAAGAUAGGAUCAAGAACUCACAUAUAUUCAUGAAAACAUAAUAGGUUCAGAUCUGAAAUCAUGGCACUCGGGCCCUAGUGACAAGCAUUAAGCAUAGCAAAGUCAUAGCAACAUCAAUCUUAGAACAUAGUGGAUACUAGGGAUCAAACCCUAACAAAACUAACUCGAUUACAUAAUAGAUCUCAUCCAACCCAUCACCGUCCAGCAAGCCUACGAUGGAAUUACUCACGCACGGCGGUGAGCAUCAUGAAAUUGGUGAUGGAGGAUGGUUGAUGAUGACGAUGGCGACGAAUCCCCCUCUCCGGAGCCCCGAACGGACUCUAGAUCAGCCCUCCCGAGAGGUUUUAGGGCUUGGCGGCUCCGUAUCGUAAAACGCGAUGAAUCCUUCUCUCUGAUUGUUUUCUCCCUGAAAGUGAAUAUAUGGAGUAGGAGUUGAGGUCGGUGGAGCGUCAGGGGGCCCACGAGGUAGGGGGCACGCCCUAGGGGGGUAGGCGCGCCCCCACCCUCGUGGGCAGGGUGUGGGCCCCCUGACGUGGAUUUUUCUUCCAGUAUUUCUCUUAUUUUCCAAAUAGAUGUUCUGUGGAGUUUCAGGUCAUUCCGAGAACUUUUGUUUCUGCACAUAAAUAACACCAUGGAAAGUCUGCUGAAAACAGCGUCAGUGCGGGUUAGUUCCAUUCAAAUCAUGCAAGUUAGAGUCCAAAACAAGGGCAAAAGUGUUUGGAAAAGUAGAUACGACGGAGACGUAUCAGCUGGCAUGGCAGGUUCGUUCAAGACCAUUCUUAACUCAACUAACGACAUCAUUACAAAGAACCCAAGGGUCCAUGAGAGAUUUUAUCUCCCCUAUCUUCUUCGCCACGACCCUGCUCGCUGGCGCGCGGACGACGGAAGCCUAGCCUUGUGCAAGUUGAUGCUGCUUGAUAAUGAUACAUGUGAUGUUAAGAUGCCAUCGCUUAAGGGUAAGGCCUGGGCAGGUGCAAAUGGAGAUUGGGUUGUUUAUAUUGGGUACAACUGCGAGUGGGAACUUGUGAAUGUGUACACUCGUCAGCGGAUUCCACUUCCAAAAAUCUCAGAUUGCCCUGAGGUUGAGCACACAGAUGAUAUACGCAUGUUCAAAUACGAUCAUGGUGAAUGUCGUCUACGGAAGAUAGCAAUCUGUCGAGUUCCCAACCGCUCUUGGAAUUACAGGAACUGUCAUGUUGUUGCUAUCUUCGACAAGCUUGUUGCCAUCCUUACUUCCACGCCUCGAUGGAUAUUGCUCAAAAAUCAAUUUAUGUACAUGGAUGAGUACUGUGAUGCAAUUCAAUACGAGCUUCUUGUGUUUGCUGCCACCACUCAUGGCACUGUUUUUGCAUGGAAUCCUUAUGGUUUAGGUACAUUUGUCUUCCACCGUAAUUAUAAUUGUUUCAUCCACAUGCAUGCGGGUUAGCUAGUUUCCCGUUACUAAUUAACCUUCUUGUGUUUCCAAGGUCCUGUGAACAUUCCACCACCUAUACUUGAAAUUUUUUAUAACCAAGGGGGAGAUGACGAUGGUGAUGAUCACGAGCAUGAGGACGAGUAGGACCUAUCACUACAAAAAAAA
rnacentral:lncRNA from 1 species